CAGCCGCCACGGGAAUACGUAGGGUGCAAGCGUUAAUCGGAAUUACUGGGCGUAAAGCGUGCGCAGGCGGUCCGCUAAGACAGAUGUGAAAUCCCCGGGCUUAACCUGGGAACUGCAUUUGUGACUGGCGGGCUAGAGUACGGUAGAGGGGGAUGGAAUUCCGCGUGUAGCAGUGAAAUGCGUAGAUGUGCGGAGGAACACCGAUGGCGAAGGCAGCCCCCUGGGCCAAUACUGACGCUCAUGCACGAAAGCGUGGGGAGCAAACAGGAUUAGAUACCCCAGUAGUCCCUGUCUCUUAUAC
rnacentral:rRNA from 1 species